AGCAUUACUGUGUUUUGGUCUGAAGGGCGCCGUAGCUAGUGAAAUUACUGGGCAAAUGAGACUUAACAUCUUAUGUCUCAAAGUGACGAGCGCAAUUGUAGUGCCGCCCACAGUUGGGGUAUGGGUUUUUCAAGAAUCCUGAAAGUCACUGCAUUGUAAUGGGCAGGACGUAUCAAUUACCAUCAGAUAAACGCAAUGCAUUCCGUUCACCACUCAAGAACUUUACUAAUAAGGAUUAUAGUAGGUGCCCGCUGGCGGGGUUUUACAGUGAAGACAAAUAAUAAGGCAAGAUAUAGAUUAUAGAGUACUUAAACAAAACUAUUUCAACAAUUAUGUUUGAGUUUUGCUAGAAGCCUAAAGUGCCGCUUCCAGUGAAUAAUUUCAAGUAGGAGAUCUCUUUUAGCUUGAAAAUCACGUACUGUUUAAGUAAAACCUCGAUAUGAGCUCUUAAGUUCACAAUUUAUCUUCAACUGCCACCAUCACGAUAAUAUUUUAGAUUUUAAUAUUUAGUUUAGUAAUCAUAAAAUCGAGUUAUUUUCAUUGAGCCUCUGUCAAGUCAUAUUACUAUUAAACAUCCCAGUAAUAGUUAUUCAAUGAUAUUAUUAUUAUUUUCUGGGAAAACCAUUAAGUAAGGUAGCAUUCUUGUAAGUAAUAUUUUAACUAAUAGAAAUCAUUAUAUUCAUGUAAUAUAAAUAGAAUAUAGUAUAGAUUUUAGCAUAAACCAGUCUUGAAAAUGGUAUUCAAUAUGUUAUUAACCAGAUACACGUAAGCAGAAUAUUAAGUUGAUCCAAUAAAUCUUGUUUCACUCAACUUUAACAUAAGUUUAUUGGCAGGAUUGGUUACAACAUACAAUAAUAUGAAAGUUAGUUUUGUACCAAAUGAAAGCGCCACGGCGAUGUACAUUGAAACUAUUUUGAUAUUUUAUUGCAAAUGGCCGUUGAAUUGUUAAUAUUGUUAGAAUUUUUCUUAAUAUGUUUGUCGAAUCUAUUUUGAUGAAUGGUAAUACAUUGACGGACUUAUAAAUAAACUUGGUAUAAAGUUAUACCUAAGAAUAAAACAAGAAUAUGCAAAAUGUUUACAAAUAGGCAUUUUGCUUAUGAUUGGUUUACUCGGACGUAUAAAGUUUCCCGCGUUUAUUUGCAAGGCUGCUUGACAUUCGGAAAAAUUCAGAAGCAGUAUCUUUUUUUUUAUUUAUUUCGUGGCACGGGUUGCAAGUCCAUAGGCCAAAUCAGUAUUGUAUUGACAGCAAUAUAGUCAACAUUUUGCAGUUGACUUGUCAAACUCUGGCUCGAGUUUGAAGACGAAAAUUGGCGGAAUUAACACUCAAAAAAACUCAAAACAAUUGGAUAUUGAUAUAAGUUUGAAGUACGCUCACAUUACAGCUAAUAGCCUUUUUAAGACUGGGAGUUAAAAUAAAAAUAUUGUGAUAUCUUUCAAACCUUAACCCUGUGAUUGUUUAAUUAUGACAUCUUAUUUAGUAUAUUAAAACUAGAGCAUAUGAUAUUGGAAAUUCAAAAAAAUCUUGUUUUUAUUAGUUUUACCUUUGCACAGGAUGCCGGCUAGAUUAUGGGUACCACAACGGCGCCUUUUUCUGCCGUGAAGCAGUAAUGUGUAAGCAUUACUGUGUUUCGGUCUGAAGGGCGCCGUAGCUAGUGAAACUACUGGGAAAAUGAGAAUUAACAUCUUAUGUCUCAUGGUGACGGCGCAGUUGUAGUGCCGCUCAGAAUUUUUGGGGUUUUUCAAGAUUCCUAAGCGGCACUGCAUUGUUAUGGGCAGGUCGUAUCAAUUACCAUCAGCUGAACGUCCUACUUGACUUGUCCCUUAUUUUCAUAAAUAAAGUUUCCAAUAAUAAUUAUGGCAGCAUUUACAAUAAUUGCUUUAUUAUAGAUUUUUUGUGAAUAUUUCAUUGAAAUUAAUAAAACACAUUCAUUAAUUUUAUGACAAAGCAGUUUGUCUGAAUUGUUUGUAUGUACUGUGUGAACAUUGUGCAAUUUUAGAUGUAUAGUAAUGUUUUUUUUUUCAUUUUUUUCUGUGAUAUAACGAAGUAUAAUUUACUCGCCGUGGAAAAUAAUAUAUAAAUAUUGAUUUAUUUUUAAUUUUUAACUUUUAAUAUAUAUAAUUACUAAUAAUCGUAAGUAAAUUUUUUUUAAUGAAACUUAACUUUCAUAGUGUGAAAUAGUCAUUUUUAUGCUGUGAAGUCUGACUGUGACAGUUGUAAAAACGUCGAGAAAAAUUGAGGUUCACAGUUAACCUCUAUAUUGAGCAACGCACUCACACUAACACAAAGUAGCAUCUUGGGAGGCUUCUUUGCACAGAAUGCCGGGUAGAUUUAGGGUACCACAACGCCACCUAUCUUUGCCGUGAAGCAGUAAUGUGUUAACAUUACUGUGUCUGAAGGGAGCCGUAGCUAGCGAUAUUACUGGGCAAAUAAGACUUAACAUCUUAUGUCUCAAAGUGACGAGCGCUAUUGUACUGAUGCUCAGAAUUUUUGGGCUUUUCAAGAAUCCUGAGCGGUACUGCAUUGUAAUCGGCAGGGCGUUUCAAUUACCAUCAGCUGAACGUCCUGCUCGUCUCGUCCCGUAUUAUCAUAAAAUAAAUCGAGUGUACGACGUAGCUUGUCACGCACGCUUAGGUAAUAAACCUGGCCUAUUUUCAUCGGUUGUCUAGCUGCAAGAGGCUCUAUCUACAGUAGACGUAUAAAUUAUCUAAGAUAUUUUAUACUUACAGUAGAAACUAUGCAAAGAAAACCUUCUCAUUUUUUUUUAUAUUUACUUGUGGACAUAUUUCACCUAUCACACAGUCCAAUGAAUAUUCUUAAUAUAUGAGCAGAGAUAUAUAGAAUACUACACAUCGUACCGUCAUUAUUUUAUUCAGUACUUAUUAUUUUAAAGUAUUUUUUUUUAUUAUGUAGUUGCAUUAGAUGUGUGUAUGUAAUUUUGACAGACAUAUUAUGUAAGCGUAAAUAUAUUUUUUGGGUCUAUUAUGAUAUUCCACUGUUAAAAACGUAACCCGCCAUUUUGGAUUUCAAUGACAUUGACAUAUGACACACUUAAACCUAUAUUCUGACAGUUACAUCGCUACGUACAGGCCCCUCGGUUUUAAUAAAAUAGUUAAAAAUUACGCUACAUCUUUCAUAGUUCUAUAAGCGGUAUAUUAAAUUUCAAGUAUUUAUUAAUUAACAAUAAACGACUGUGAUUUUUAUAAGGAA